rnacentral:rRNA from 1 species
UACGGGGGGUGCGAGCGUUGUCCGGAAUCACUGGGCAUAAAGGGCGCGUAGGUGGUUUGAUAAGGGUGUGGUGAAAGCCCGGGGCUCAACCCCGGGUCUGCCGUGCCGACUGUCAAACUCGAGGGCUGUAGAGGCAGACGGAAUUCCGGGUGUAGCGGUGGAAUGCGUAGAGAUCCGGAGGAAGACCGGUGGCGAAGGCGGUCUGCUGGGCAGUUUCUGACACUGAGGCGCGACGAGCGUGGGGAGCAAACAGG